ACGCUGGCGGUAGGCUUAACACAUGCAAGUCGAGCGAGAAAGUAUCUUCGGAUAUGAGUAUAGCGGCGGACGGGUGAGUAACGCGUAGGAAUCUACCUAGUAGAAGGGGAUAGCCCGGGGAAACUCGGAUUAAUACCGUAUACCUCCUAAGGGAGAAAGAGGGCCUCUCUUGAUGCUCUCGCUAUUAGAUGAGCCUGCGUAAGAUUAGCUUGUUGGUAAGGUAAUGGCUUACCAAGGCUACGAUCUUUAGCUGGUCUGAGAGGACGAUCAGCCACAUUGGGACUGAGACACGGCCCAGACUCCUACGGGAGGCAGCAGUGGGGAAUAUUGGACAAUGGGCGCAAGCCUGAUCCAGCCAUACCGCGUGUGUGAAGAAGGCCUUCGGGUUGUAAAGCACUUUAAGCAGGGAGAAAAAGUUAUAAGUUAAUACCUUGUAACCGUGAUGUUACCUGCAGAAUAAGCACCGGCUAAUUCCGUGCCAGCAGCCGCGGUAAUACGGAAGGUGCAAGCGUUAAUCGGAAUUACUGGGCGUAAAGCGCGCGUAGGUGGUUUGUUAAGUUGGAUGUGAAAGCCCUGGGCUCAACCUAGGAACUGCAUCCAAAACUAACUCACUAGAGUACGAUAGAGGGAGGUAGAAUUCAUAGUGUAGCGGUGGAAUGCGUAGAUAUUAUGAAGAAUACCAGUGGCGAAGGCGGCCUCCUGGAUCUGUACUGACACUGAGGUGCGAAAGCGUGGGUAGCGAACAGGAUUAGAUACCCUGGUAGUCCACGCCGUAAACGAUGACAACUAGCUGUUGGGAGACAAUGUCUUUCAGUGGCGCAGCUAACGUUUUAAGUUGUCCGCCUGGGGAGUAC
rnacentral:rRNA from 1 species